UAUUAUGUAUUAUGUAAAUAGAUGAAUAUCAGGGUAGUAAUAGCUAUGGUCUUGAAACCCAAAGAAUUUGGCGGUGUUUUAGUCCUUUCAGAGGAAUCUGUUCUGUAAUUGAUAAUACACGAUUUAUGUGACUUGAUUUUGUUAUCAGUUUAUAUACCGCCGUCAGUAAGAUUAUCUUGUGGAGAGUAUUAAAUUUCGUUAUAUUUUAUUUUAUAUUAUGUCAGGUCAAGGUGUAGCUAAUAGUUAAGUAGAAAUGGAUUACAAUAAAAAUAUUUAUAUGGAUAAUAGUUUGAAUAAGUUAUUUGAAAGUGGAUUUGAUUGUAAAUUUGGUAUAGAUUGGCUAAUUGAUUAGGGCUCUAGAAUGUGUACAUAUCGCCCGUCGCUCUCGUUUAAGAUGAG
rnacentral:rRNA from 1 species